rnacentral:rRNA from 1 species
GUAGUCCAUGCCGUAAACGGUGGGCGCUAGGUGUGGGGGUCUUCCACGACUUCCGUGCCGUAGCUAACGCAUUAAGCGCCCCGCCUGGGGAGUACGGCCGCAAGGCUAAAACUCAAAGGAAUUGACGGGGGCCCGCACAAGCGGCGGAGCAUGUGGAUUAAUUCGAUGCAACGCGAAGAACCUUACCUGGGCUUGACAUAUGCAGGAUCGGCACAGAGAUGUGUUUUCCCUUGUGGUCUGUAUACAGGUGGUGCAUGGUUGUCGUCAGCUCGUGUCGUGAGAUGUUGGGUUAAGUCCCGCAACGAGCGCAACCCUUGUCUUGUGUUGCCAGCACGUUAUGGUGGGGACUCGCGAGAGACUGCCGGGGUUAACUCGGA